rnacentral:rRNA from 1 species
CCUACGGGUGGCUGCAGUGGGGAAUAUUGGGCAAUGGACGCAAGUCUGACCCAGCAACGCCGCGUGAAGGAAGAAGGCUUUCGGGGUGUAAACGUCUGUGAAGGGGGAAGAGCAGAAGACGGUACCACUUGAAUAAGCCACGGCUAACUCCGUGACAGAAUCCGCGGUAAUACGGAGGUGGCAAGCGGUGUCCGGAUUUACUGGGGGGAAAGGGCGUGCAGCCGGCGUGAAAAGUCAGAUGUGCAAUCCGCAGGCUCAACCUGGGAACUGCCUUUGAAACUGUUUCCCUUGAGUAUCGGAGAGGUCAUCGGAAUUCCUAGUGUAGCGGUGACAUGCGUAGCUAUUAGGAAGAACCCCCGUGGC